ACAGCUCCUCCAUUUCUUGCCCAUAUUGCAUGCAUUGGUAUAGAAGCAGUGCAUUUGAGAUACUGAUCCUGCCACUUUUGCAGGGAGAGAAACUCUACUGCUCAUGUCACCAUUCCCAGGCACAUCUGGUUUCUAAGGCAUCAACAGCCCACACAUCUCUGCUGUUGCAUGGUCUCAAUAUCCUACAUCUAUUGAGAUGGCUGCAAAGCAACCUUGGUAGCAUACCACCCCUCAGUGUCAUGCUGUCCCCAGGCUUAUCUCUAGCAAGCCUGAUUUUAUCCCUUUCUCCUUCAAAUCUAGUCUAAAAUUCUCUCAAUGAGUCUUAAAUCCUGUGCAAGUUCCUUUUCCUCCCUUGUUACAAGUGUACCCCAUGUCAGCAGGUCAUGUAUAUCCCAUGUUAGCAGGUCAUGUAAACCAACACACAGUUUUGUCAGUGACACUAGGAACAGAGUCAGGUAUUGAUCUGCUGGCUCUUCUUCCUUCUUUUUGCAUCAUUCCAUACUCUGUGCAAAGCCUAUUCACAACUAGCCACAACCAGCACUAGAGACUUUAUCAUAAAGUCAGGCUCUGACCCCAAUUGCUGGGUGUAGCGACGGUGAUUGGCCUCUUCAAAUAAGUGGAUGCCCAGGCUAGCUCGGCCAGCACCGCCGGCAGCAAAUGGGGCACUCCCCCUCAGGACCAGCCGCUUCCCGGGGAGAGCGCCUAAGGCUCUCGCCUUAGGGCAGAGGAUCCAAGGAUAGCUGGUGGUGGAGCUUUGCUGCAACCCGCCAGAGAAGAAAGAGCAGAGUCCAGACAGCGUGCGAACUGGGGAGGGUUUAUUAGGAAGGGGUGACGUCUGUCCAGACUCCGAAAAACCCGGAGCCUGCGUCACAGUUAAAUAUGAGUUCAGACAACCAAUAGGGAUAGAGAACAUGGGAGGAGAAACUUGAAUGACACUUGCGGGGAACCAACCAGGGGGUGAACAGGGAGGGGCCCUGGCCCUUGAACCAAUCACACGAUGGCCUGCCUAGGAGUUUCUGGAAGGGAAGGCAUUGAUCCAUCUAUAGCUAUGACAACAAAACUCAGAUGACCUUAAUGUAAAUGAGAGAAUGUCAUUGACAUAUGACCAGACAUAGCAAAUGCAUGGGAAAACAGCCUAAAAUGUCAGUGAGAUGCAAAGUCUUUCAGAUACAGCCAAGAUGUCACCUAUAAUUCAUUCAGUGUGCAUGCAGUCCAAGG